UUAUUGCACAGGAUCAGCUGUCCGUCUCUUCAAGGAAGAAAAUUCUCUCUGCUGAUCAGAAAUGUUGCUGGUCCCUUGAGUGAUUUCUU
rnacentral:lncRNA from 1 species